CAGCAGCCGCGGGAAUACGAAGGGUGCAAGCGUUACUCGGAAUUACUGGGCGUAAAGCGUGCGUAGGUGGUGGUUUAAGUCCGUUGUGAAAGCCCUGGGCACAACCUGGGAAUUGCAGUGGAUACUGGAUCACUAGAGUGUGUAGAGGAUAGUGGAAUUUCCGGUGUAGCAGUGAAAUGCGUAGAGAUCGGAAGGAACAUCUGUGGCGAAGGCGACUAUCUGGGCCAACACUGACACUGAGGCACGAAAGCGUGGGGAGCAAACAGGAUUAGAUACCCCCGUAGUCCCUGUCUCUUAUACA
rnacentral:rRNA from 1 species